CAGCAGCCGCGGGAAUACGUAGGUGGCAAGCGUUGUCCGGAAUUAUUGGGCGUAAAGGGCUCGCAGGCGGUUUCUUAAGUCUGAUGUGAAAGCCCCCGGCUCAACCGGGGAGGGUCAUUGGAAACUGGGAAACUUGAGUGCAGAAGAGGAGAGUGGAAUUCCACGUGUAGCGGUGAAAUGCGUAGAGAUGUGGAGGAACACCAGUGGCGAAGGCGACUCUCUGGUCUGUAACUGACGCUGAGGAGCGAAAGCGUGGGAGCGAACAGGAUUAGAUACCCCUGUAGUCCCUGUCUCUUAUACA
rnacentral:rRNA from 1 species